rnacentral:lncRNA from 1 species
UUUGUCAUGCUCAUUUAAUAAUCAAAAUAAAUAUUGCACAAUUCGCAGCGGAUAUGCAAACCAUGUAACACAUUACAUGUAAAAUUAUUCAACCACCAAAUAAAAACAAGGUAAAACAUCCCGUCCCGAUGUUACAUCUACCAGAGCAUGACCCACUAAGGAACUACACUAGACUCCAAGCACUAGCUUCUACUCAAUC